rnacentral:rRNA from 1 species
UGGGGAAUUUUGGACAAUGGGCGCAAGCCUGAUCCAGCCAUGCCGCGUGCAGGAUGAAGGCCUUCGGGUUGUAAACUGCUUUUGUACGGAACGAAAAGGUGCCUUCUAAUAAAGGGCGCUCAUGACGGUACCGUAAGAAUAAGCACCGGCUAACUACGUGCCAGCAGCCGCGGUAAUACGUAGGGUGCGAGCGUUAAUCGGAAUUACUGGGCGUAAAGCGUGCGCAGGCGGUUUUGUAAGACAGAGGUGAAAUCCCCGGGCUCAACCUGGGAACUGCCUUUGUGACUGCAAGGCUGGAGUGCGGCAGAGGGGGAUGGAAUUCCGCGUGUAGCAGUGAAAUGCGUAGAUAUGCGGAGGAACACCGAUGGCGAAGGCAAUCCCCUGAGCCUGCACUGACGCUCAUGCACGAAAGCGUGGGAAGCAAACA